AUUGAACGCUAGCGGGAUGCUUUACACAUGCAAGUCGAACGAGUGGCGGACGGGUGAGUAAUAUAUCGGAACGUGCCCAGUAGCGGGGGAUAACUACUCGAAAGAGUGGCUAAUACCGCAUACUAUUUGAGCGGCCGACAUCGGAUUAGCUAGUUGGUGGGGUAAAGGCUCACCUAGGCAACGAUCCGUAGCUGGUCUGAGAGGACGACCAGCCACAAUGGGACUGAGACACGGCCCAGACUCCUACGGGAGGCAGCAGUGGGGAAUAUUGGACAAUGGUGGAAAGCCUGAUCCAGCCAUCCCGCGUGUAUGAGAAGGCCUUCGGGUUGUAAAGUACUUUUGGCAGAGAAGCGGUAUCUGCAGAAGAAGCACCGGCUAACUACGUGCCAGCAGCCGCGGUAAUUC
rnacentral:rRNA from 1 species